CAGUAGCCGCGGUAAUACAGAGGAUGCAGGCGUUAUCCGGAAUGAUUGGGCGUAAAGCGUCUGUAGGUGGCUUUUCAAGUCCGCUGUCAAAUCCCAGGGCUCAACCCUGGACAGGCGGUGGAAACUACCAAGCUAGAGUACGGUAGGGGCAGAGGGAAUUUCCAGCGGAGCGGUGAAAUGCGUUGAGAUCGGAAAGAACACCAACGGCGAAAGCACUCUGCUGGGCCGACACUGACACUGAGAGACGAAAGCUAGGGGAGCAAAUGGGAUUAGAUACCCCCGUAGUCCCUGUCUCUUAUAA
rnacentral:rRNA from 1 species